rnacentral:rRNA from 1 species
UACCAGACUCCUACGGGAGGCAGCAGUGAGGAAUAUUGGUCAAUGGGCGCGAGCCUGAACCAGCCAAGUCGCGUGAGGGAGGACGGCCCUACGGGUUGUAAACCUCUUUUGCCGGGGAGCAACGGGCGUCACGUGUGGCGCCACUGAGAGUACCCGGAGAAAAAGCAUCGGCUAACUCCGUGCCAGCAGCCGCGGUAAUACGGAGGAUGCGAGCGUUAUCCGGAUUUAUUGGGUUUAAAGGGUGCGUAGGCGGUCCGUUAAGUCAGCGGUAAAAUUGCGGGGCUCAACCCCGUCGAGCCGUUGAAACUGAUGUUCUUGAGUGGGCGAGAAGUAUGCGGAAUGCGUGGUGUAGCGGUGAAAUGCAUAGAUAUCGCGCAGAACUCCGAUUGCGAAGGCAGCGUACCGGCGCCGGACUGACGCUGAGGCACGAAAGCGUGGGUAUCGAACAGGAUUAGAUACCCUCGUA